rnacentral:rRNA from 1 species
UACGUAGGGGGCGAGCGUUGUCCGAAUUUACUGGGCGUAAAGCGCGCGUAGGCGGACCUUUAAGUGGAGGGUGAAAUCUUGGGGCUCAACCCCAAAACUGCCUUUCAAACUGGGGGUCUUGAGGUAUGGAGAGGGAAGUGGAAUUCCUGGUGUAGCGGUGAAAUGCGUAGAUAUCAGGAGGAACACCCGUGGCGAAGGCGGCUUCCUGGCCAUACCCUGACGCUGAGGUGCGAAAGCCAGGGGAG